rnacentral:rRNA from 1 species
GCUUUCCUACGGGACGCAGCAGUGAGGAAUAUUGGUCAAUGGGCGGAAGCCUGAACCAGCCAAGUCGCGUGAGGGAAUAAGGCCCUACGGGUCGUAAACCUCUUUUGCCGGGGAGCAAGGGCGGGGACGUGUCCCGGCCCGGAGAGUACCCGGAGAAAAAGCAUCGGCUAACUCCGGGCCAGCAGCCGCGGUAAUACGGAGGAUGCGAGCGUUAUCCGGAUUUAUUGGGUUUAAAGAGUGCGUAGGCGGGCUUUUAAGUCAGCGGGUAAAAUUCGGGGCUCAACCCCGUCCGGUCGUUGAAACUG